AGGUGAGAUCGUAGGAGAUACCUUAAUUGAUUUUGGUGCUGGGCCAGCCAUCUAUCAUCUCCUUUCAGCCUGUGAGGUGUUUAAGAAUAUAAUUACUUCUGACUUCCUUGAGCAAAACUGUGCUGAGCUGAAUAAGUGGCUUAAGAAGGACCCUGGGGCAUUUGACUGGACUCCAGCUGUCAAGUUAGUAUGUGAGCUAGAAGGAAACAGGUAUGUCUCCAUCUAAGGCAAAAUGUAUAAACACACUAAGAAAAAAAUGUAACAAUACGUGAAAAACGAAGUGUUCCCAGGUGUACCUCGCAGACACCCAACUAAUAAGUUAAAAGCAAA